rnacentral:misc_RNA from 1 species
GAUGAGAACGCAGCGAAAUGCGAUACUUGGUGUGAAUUGCAGAAUCCCGUGAACCAUCGAGUCUUUGAACGCAAGUUGCGCCCGAAGCCAUUAGGCCGAGGGCACGCCUGCCUGGGCGUCACACGUCGUUGCCCCCCCCCAUCUACUCCUUCGGGAUUGCGGGGGGGCGGAUGAUGGCCUCCCGUGCGCCUAGCCGCGCGGUUGGCAUAAAUACCAAGUCCUCGGCGACGCACGCCACGACAAUCGGUGGUUGCGAAACCUCGGUUGCCCGUCGUGUGCGUUCGUCGCGCAUCGAGGGCUCGAAAAAAUGCUCGGCUCCGGCUGGGCUUUCAACGCGACCCCAGGUCAGGCGGGGUUACCCGCUGAAUUUAAGCAUAUCAAUAAGCGGAGGA